UAACUGCACCUGCUGCUUCCCUAAAGAGCCCCUACACCAAUGCAUGGAGCAUGGGAAAUAAAGAGGAGGAGCCCAAGAUCUGUGUAGGGUCGGGGGCCACGAUCUUGGUGUGAUCACUGAGACGUGGUGGGACAGCUCGCACGGCUGGAAGGCAGUCACGGAGGGCUAUGAACUCUUCAGGAGAGACAGGCUGGGGAAGAGUUGCCCUUUAUGUGAGGGAGCAAUUAGAGUGCACCCAGCUCCAGCUGGGGGAGGGUGAAGGACAGGAGGAGAGUUUGUGGGUGAGGAUUAAGGGGUGGGCUGGUAUGGGGGAAACUGUUGUGGGGGUGUGCUACAGGUCACCAGAUCAGGAGGAGGAGGAGGUCGAUGGGGGAUACUAUGAGCAGCUGGAAGUAGCCUUGUGAUCCCGGACACUGGUUCUCAUGUGGACCUCAAUUAUCCAGGCGUCUGUUGGGUCGGGAGGCUGCUGUGGGGGCUCUUUGCCCAGCCCCAGGGCAUCGGCCCUGCUCUGAUGACACAGCCCCGCUGCGGGGCUCCUGGUGCCCCUGGCCCCCCGGCACCUGCCCACAGCAGGUUGUGGGGCAGCAGGGAUUCAUUAAAGCGCAUUGAGGCUGCCUGGUGUCACCUGUGUGCUGGGGGGGCAGGGGACACCCGCGGGCUGAGGAGGAAGGCGAGGUGCCCACGGUGCCGCCAGAGCUGGCUGAGUGCCCUGCGCUGCUCCGUGGGGCAGCCCCCGUCCGUCCCGCCUGCAGAGCCCGAAUCUGGGCACUGGGGGCUGAGGUGCCAGCCAAAUCCCUGCUCCUAAGCCGCCGUGGAGGCUCCCCAGGGAGGAGGAGCCCCCAGUGCUCCCCGUGCCCCCUCGCAGGAGCCGGGGCAGCGCUCUCCGGGAGGGAGCUGGAGAAGACCCCCGGCUGCCACCCAUGCAAAUUGCCCCCGCUGCCGGGAGCCGCAGGAACCCUCCUCGAUGCCUCCAUCCUCCAGCAGUGCUUUUAUUUCUCUGCAAAAGCCAGGAAAAGGCUUCCUCCAGCCUCUGCUGGUGUUCUAGGG
rnacentral:lncRNA from 1 species